rnacentral:rRNA from 1 species
AAUCAACGCUGGCGGCGUGCCUAACACAUGCAAGUCGCACGAGAAAGGGACUUCGGUCCUGAGUACAGUGGCGCACGGGUGAGUAACACGUGAAUGAUCUACCUUCGAGUGGGGAAUAACUGAGAGAAAUCUUAGCUAAUACCGCAUAAUACCUACGGGUCAAAGCAGCAAUGCGCUUGAAGAGGAGUUCGCGGCAGAUUAGUUAGUUGGCAGGGUAAGGCCUACCAAGACGAUGAUCUGUAUCCGGCCUGAGAGGGCGCACGGACACACUGGAACUGAAACACGGUCCAGACUCCUACGGGAGGCAGCAGUGGGGAAUUUUGCGCAAUGGGGGAAACCCUGACGCAGCAACGCCGCGUGGAGGAU